AUUUUGAUAUAUCAUGGAGUGGGAGACAAUCUAAUAAGAUAAAUUAUUCCAAAUCCAUGACAUAUCAAAAUACUAAAGAAAACAUAUCUAUCCAUAGUUCUAAGAGAAAAGUCUUACCUUUUAUAGGCUUGUUGUACAGUUCAUAGUCAAGAUUGCCUCAAGGCUUGCAAUAGAACUUAUUGGGGAUCUCACAGCCAAGCUUUCUAUGGAAUUCACUACAAGGCCAACUACAAGACCUAUCAUAGGACCAAUUGUAAGACCCGUUGCAAAGUUUGCAACUAAGCUUAUUGUAGAGCCCACCUCAAAGCCUUCAACCAAGCCUAUUAGAAGGUUCAUUGUCAAGCUUGUUGUAAAGCUUGCCAUCACACUUAUUGUGGAUUCUGUGGAUUGACUUGAUGUGGAAUUUGAUGUUGAGGCGAUUGCAUCCACAAUUGACUUUGCUUAGAUACCUCCUUUGGAACUUGCUAUUGUGCUUGCAUUCACAGUAUCUCU
rnacentral:lncRNA from 1 species